CUGACAUUUUCCGGGUUUGGAUCUGUUGAGAAAUACCCACUGACCGACCGACCGACUGCCGGAAGGACCGACCGACCGACCGACUGUCGGAAGGACCGACCGACUGACGGCCCGACCGAUCGACUGACGGCCCGAUCGACCGACGGCCGGACCGACCGAUUGGCGGUCGGAGCGACCGACUGAGGAUAUGUCGGACGCACCUUUUCCGACCGACUGAACCCAGAGGUCUGAUGGCCGAUUCAUGAAAGACUCGCCGACCAACGGAGGGACCCGACGCCAUUCAGCUGGCCACCGACUUUGGAUCGGUCGGCUCCUCCAAUCGCCGUACAGCCGCCAGACCUUGUCAGCUCUGACAGCGACAUGCGGCACGGCUAUCUAGGGGCAUUGUCCCGCCGAGGGCAUUGUCAACCCUGGUGAUUUGACGGCCACACGGCGACAUGACACUUUCACGGCGACUCUGACAGUCUACAGUGAGUUGACAGUUCCUCACUUGUCUGCGCCAUUAAUGACGGCGCCAUACCGUGCUCCACUAUAUAAACCGGGGAAGGCAACAGUGCAAGGGAUCCGCUCCAUCGCUCCCACUUCUCGACUUCGAAACCACAGGCUCGCUCCUCUCUCCAUCUCUCUCUCUCGAUUGAGCUUUCUGUCUUCAUUUCACUGUUGCCCAGUCACCUCUCUGACUUGACCGUCGGAGGGUCCCCGCCGGAGCCGCCUCCGGUCAGUGCGGACUUCUCGUUUUUGCAGGUGCACGCUCUCCGACGAUCGGACGACGAGGCGAUUGGCCGCAACAGGA
rnacentral:lncRNA from 1 species